UCCCUGGUGGCUCAGAUGGUAAAGAAUCUGCCUGCAAUGCAGGAGACUCGGGUUCGAUCCCUGGCUCAGGAA
rnacentral:tRNA from 1 species